rnacentral:rRNA from 1 species
ACGGAAGGCAGCAGUGGGGAAUAUUGCACAAUGGGGGAAACCCUGAUGCAGCGACGCCGCGUGAGUGAAGAAGUAUUUCGGUAUGUAAAGCUCUAUCAGCAGGAAAGAAAAUGACGGUACCUGACUAAGAAGCCCCGGCUAACUACGUGCCAGCAGCCGCGGUAAUACGUAGGGGGCAAGCGUUAUCCGGAUUUACUGGGUGUAAAGGGAGCGUAGACGGCUUUGCAAGUCUGAAGUGAAAGCCCGGGGCUCAACCCCGGAACUGCUUUGGAAACUGUAGAGCUAGAGUGCAGGAGAGGUAAGUGGAAUUCCUAGUGUAGCGGUGAAAUGCGUAGAUAUUAGGAGGAACACCAGUGGCGAAGGCGGCCUACUGGACUGUAACUGACGUUGAGGCUCGAAGGCGUGGGGAGCAAACAGGAUUAGAUACCCUGGUA